rnacentral:rRNA from 1 species
UCGGGAAUAUUAGAAAUGGACGAAAGUCUGAUCUAGCAACACCGCGUGUGCGAAGAAGGCCUUCGGGUCGUAAAGCACUUUUUGGAAGGAAUAGGAAGGAAUGUACUUCCAGAAUAAGUCUCGGCUAACUACGUGCCAGCAGCCGCGGUAACACGUAGGAGGCGAACGUUAUCCGGAUUUACUGGGCGUAAAGCGCGUGUAGGUGGUUCUGUAAGUAGGGCGUGAAAGCUCCUGGCUCAACUGGGAGAGGCCGUUCUAAACUGCAGAGCUAGAGGAUGGUAGAGGGAGGUGGAAGUCCGGGUGUAGCGGUGGAAUGCGCAGAUAUCCGGAGGAACACCAGUGGCGAAAGCGGCCUCCUGGACCAUUCCUGACACUCAGACGCGAAAGCUAGGGUAGCAAACG